GGGGGCGAAUGGGUUCGACGGAGUGAUUGAUGGGUUUAGGGGCAUAGCGAGGUUCUUCUAUCGCCUCGUUAAUCUUGAUAGAAGAAAAAACAGCUGCCAAUAACAGCUACGCACUGGCUGCCUAAUUAAAGGCAACCCCUUAAUCGGCAAGUUCACCCGGUGCCGAAUUAGGGUCGAAUAGGGUGAUAAAGGUUUAGGUUUUGUCUCAGAAUCUAAACUGGAUAAUUUAUUGAGACUGGUUGGUUUCCGCCUGUCCUUUGGCUAAGAAACCGACGACAAAGAUAAAAGGACUAACUAUGUAGAACCUAAAUCCUGAACGCUUCGGACGCGGGUUCGAUUCCCGCCGCCUCCAUUU
rnacentral:tmRNA from 1 species